rnacentral:rRNA from 1 species
AUAUCAAUAAGCGGAGGAAAAGAAACCAACAGGGAUUGCCCUAGUAACGGCGAGUGAAGCGGCAACAGCUCAAAUUUGAAAUCUGGCCUUGUGCCCGAGUUGUAAUUUGCAGAGGAGUACUUUUGGCGCGGCGCCUUCUAAGUUCCCUGGAACGGGACGCCACAGAGGGUGAGAGCCCCGUACCGUCGGCAGCCAAGCCUGUGUAAGGUCUCCUUCGACGAGUCGAGUAGUUUGGGAAUGCUGCUCAAAAUGGGAGGUAAAUGCCUUCUAAAGCUAAAUACCGGCCAGAGACCGAUAGCGCACAAGUAGAGUGAUCGAAAGAUGAAAAGCACUUUGAAAAGAGGGUUAAAUAGUACGUGAAAUUGUUGAAAGGGAAGCGCCUAUGACCAGACUUGUGCCCGGUUGAUCAUCCAGCGUUAUGCGCUGGUGCACUCUUCCGGCCCAGGCCAGCAUCGGUUUCGCCGGGGGGAUAAAGGCAGCGGGAAUGUAGCUCUUCGGAGUGUUAUAGCCCGCCGCACAAUACCCCCGUGGGGACCGAGGUACGCGCUUCUGCAAGGAUGCUGGCGUAAUGGUCAUCAGCGA